GAUUUUGGAGGUAGAAGAAUUCGUCCACGUCUACACGCCGAUGGUUUGACAGGAGAUAACUCCGAGAGAUGCGGGAGGUAUUGGACGCCCGCCCAAAAUC
rnacentral:ncRNA from 19 species